rnacentral:lncRNA from 1 species
ACAGUGAACUCCGCAUCGACUCACGCGUUCACCUCCUUCCGGUCUAAAUGGUAAACUCCUCUGCAUUUUCUGUUCGGUUCUAUUUUGGUGGGGCCCACGCGUCAUCACAGAGUAUCUGGGAGCCCUGCCCUCUUGCAGAUGGGAAUGAAGGCCCAGGUGCUCUGGAGAGGUGACUCUCCUCUAGUUGUCUCGCUUCUCAGAAAGGAAACACUGGUUCUGUAAACCUGUUUGAGAAGAAAAGCUCGAGGUUUCUUGGCCUCUCUGCUUCUGGAGCCAGGGGAAAAAAUAGCCCCAGGCUGAAGACAGGAGGGACCAGAUUGCUGCUUGGUGAUGCGAUCUCACUGCAGAGGCAGCCAGGAGACCCUCCUGAGACGAAUCGGAGAGUCCAUGCUGCUUUUACACACAUCCUAGUUCUUUUAUAACUAGCCUUUUCCUAUUAACGGACAUCAUUCAAAAGCCAGUUUUAAGCAACAUAAAUAUUGAAAACAAUACUAUACUAUUUAGAAUUAAUUAUAAGUUUUGUUUUUAAAGCCUAAAUCUUUUAUUGUUGUUUGAACCCUGGGCACUGAAGCUAAUAAUGUAACUUUUCUCCCUUCUUUCUUCUUUGGCAUAGAUUUAAAGAACUGUUAGACUCAUUUAAAAUGCUAUUAGGCAUUUUAAAGAGUAAUUGUUAAAUGUGUUGUCUCUUGUGGGACUGGAAAUGUUCUGUUCUUAUCUGGCGCUGGUUACAUCCUGUUUUUCAUUUGGGAAAGUGCAUUGAGCUGGAAAUUUAUAUGUUCAAUUUCUGUAUGUAAAUUGUACUUCAGUAAAAAUUUUCAAAAAA